AUUGAACGCUGGCGGCAGGCCUAACACAUGCAAGUCGAACGAGUGGCGGACGGGUGAGUAAUGUCUGGGAAACUGCCCGAUGGAGGGGGAUAACUACUGGAAACGGUAGCUAAUACCGCAUACCAUCGGAUGUGCCCAGAUGGGAUUAGCUUGUAGGUGAGGUAACGGCUCACCUAGGCGACGAUCCCUAGCUGGUCUGAGAGGAUGACCAGACAGAAUGGAACUGGGAAACGGGCCAGACUCCUACGGGAGGCAGAAGUGGGGAAGAUUGGACAAGGGGCGCAAGCCGGAUGCAGCCAUGCCGGGUGUAUGAAGAGGGCCUUCGGGUUGUAAAGUACUUUCAGCGGGGAGGCGUUACCCGAAGAAGAAGCACCGGCUAACUCCGUGCCAGCAGCCGCGGUAAUAC
rnacentral:rRNA from 1 species